rnacentral:lncRNA from 1 species
AGAGAACAACUUUAUUUUCCUUUCCUUUUGAUCCUAGGAGUACGUACAUGAGAAGAGGCAACAGCUCAGGGCUUUAUAGAAAGGAGCUGAUGCAGGUUUUAAUUCUGACACAACAUUGUAAUGAUAUAUUUUUAUUUGUUUUAUGCGAUUUGGGUUAUGUUUCAGAUUUUUCUGGGAAAGAUUCUACUGUAACAAAAAUAAGUCAAUAAACCACUGCUGGUAUUUGUUGAGCAGUGGCAGUUGCUAUAUUGGAAAACAUCAACUGGGGCUGAGCUGUGGCGGGCAAUGAAUUUAGAUGUGUUGUAAUACCCCCUUGGAAGCCACUGGGGGGUUGAGUGGGGGCAGCUAUAAAGUCAGCAUCAUUUUUUUUUUUUUUUUUUUUUUUUUUUUUUUUGUCUUCUGCUCUUUUAUCACAACAGAAAUCGGUUUGGGCUGGACUGGAGGGAGGAAGGGUUAUCGGUCAGGAAGUUUCUAGCCAUGCAGGGGAUGAGCACAAAGGGAAGAUGGUUCGGAUAACUUCCAGACUUCCCAUCAUCCAUAUCAACACUGAUGGUGGUAUACUUUGAGUAGAUCUGGCUUGUGACUUUUCAGAACCACAAACCAAGAAUAGAUAAUCAAAAAAGUCAAAGUGUACAAAGGGUUCUGGAAACUAUCCAAGCCAGGCCUGUCUUCAUCGUGGCUUUUGGCAGCUGUAUGUGAAGGACACUGACAAAGGGCACUCGGUGAGUUUUGGUUAUGCCAUUAGCCCUAAGCCACAGGAUUCUCCUUUCUUUCUGUGUGUGUGGGAAAGAUAGAGGUCAAGUCAAGGUGUCACUUUCCGUCCAUCGUCUUUGUUUUCUUUUCCUUUCUAAGUUGGGGUUCUGGGAGUUGAACUUGGGUUGGGCUUGGGUUGUUUGCUUGUGGCGCACACUGUAACAACUGUGCCACUUCCCAGCUCAGACUCUCUGCCUUCUUGAGUGUUCUUGUAGCUGAGGGUUGAAUGGUGAAAUUAUAUAUGUGUGUGUGUGUGUGUGUGUGUGUGUGUGUGUGUGUGUGUGUGUAUUAGCAUCAACAGUUUGUUCUGUAGUUGAGUAUCUUGUACUCCUUGUGUGAUAGUUGAAGUUUGGAGGGGAGAUUUGCAAAGCCUUGGGGGACACAAGCCCUGUUUCACAGGUGUGUUUAGGUAUGGAAGGUCUCAAAGGGAACCUGGUUGAGGUCUAAGGAGCCUUUGCCCCGACACCCUGCUGUUUUACAUUCUUGACUUAAAUAUACCAUUGCAUGGACACUUAUUUGUCCAAAUGCCCAUGCACCAUUCUCAGAAAAAAUGUUUUGGCUUGAGUUGUCUUGGAAUCUCAAGAGGACAUCAAGGAACAUUUUGUUAAUUUAAAAUAAUCUCUCCCAUUUUUUCCUGAGUGUGCCCUAAAGAUUUCACUGUUUUUUGUUUUUGUUUUGUUUUGUUUUGUUUUGUUUUUUAAAGCUAUCUGCUCAGAUGGGAACAAACUAUAAGAACAGCUAUCUACACAGAAGCAACAGGUUCAUUAAAGUCUCCCCUGUGCCCUCCGAAGACGCAACCUGCUUCCAACAGUUCUGCCCAUUUUUCUGUUAGAAAUAGCUUGCAAUAUAUUCAGGAAGGCACUGUUCACUCAGAGCAUGUCCCCGGGGCAGGGUCCAUGUCCAGACUGUUUUGUGCCCGUUCUGUCAACCCGUUUUCCUCACCAAUGUCACUGAUCAAAGCUGUGGCUUGCUUCAUGUGGUAAUGGUCUUGGCCUAGCUUGGCAAUAGUUCUAUGAAAACUGGAAGUGGUUCAUCGUGUCCUGCCCAAGUUGUUGAAGUCACCCAUGCAUACCAUCCUUGUUACCGUGCGUAAUUAGCUGGUGUUCCUCUGUCUAUAGCAAGUGGGGGAUGCUUGCUCCCAGUGGGGCUUCUAUUUCAUUCUCUAACUAGCUCUCUACUCAUGACACAACGCAGUCUGGUGGAGCUUUGUCUCCGGGUGUCUGUGGUUGGGAUUUUUGAUGUCACCAAGAAUCCUUUCUUCUUUCCAUAUGCCAUAUUUCAGAUUCAGCCACACGCGCGUAGCAUUUCAUUUCGCUUGUCAAGACUUACAACUGGCCACAUUCCAGAGGAUGCUCUUUACUGGAGAUACAACGCAACGCGGAUGGGGUCUUUUGAUGACCCUGGUCUUGAUGGCACACCCUGGGAUCUUUUCCAGGAGAGAAAGUCGUCUCAUCCCACAUGGGAAGACGCUCAACCCCAUAAGUACAGCCUGUGAUGCUCAGCUUGCUCGCGCCCUCACCUCCAGGCAUACGUCUUCCUACAUCCCUUCUAUUCACUGGAGCUCCUAUGUGGGAUGUAGCAACAUGUGGUUUCCUGGUUACCUGCCUUCUAUAGUAACUUCACAUAUUGUUCACCUGAGAAGUCUUAAUUAAUUUAAUUAAUACUAAUUAAUUUAGCAUUUAACAGUUAUUUAUUGAGCUUCUACUAUGGACAGUGCCCAUGUACAUAGAUGAAACACAUGGAAAACAUUCUAUUUUGUUCACCAUUCUAAAAAGCACGGAAGCAUCCACAUCCUUCUUCUUAGGCUACAUAUAGUCUGUGAAUUGAAUUUUGGGUUGAAUUUUUGGGCUAAUAUCCACUUAGUAAAUAAAUAAAAUAUCCAAAAAAGUAGUAUUGAUAUAUAAAAACUUUCCC